UCCAUCGUGAGGUGGAAUCUGAAAGAAGCUGGAGGCAAAUUCCCGACCUGAGGUACACGAAUCACAUUCGAGGCUGUUAUAUUCGGGCAAGACUGCCAGACAAGUCAAAGCCCUAUGUUGCCAAGGGAUAUAGCAGUAAAUGUGGCAGGUACAUGGGAUGAAAGUUAUCGCU
rfam:Desulfotomaculum ferrireducens strain GSS09, complete genome.